AUUGAACGCUGGCGGCAUGCUUUACACAUGCAAGUCGAACGGUAACAGGGUGCUUGCACCGCUGACGAGUGGCGAACGGGUGAGUAAUGCGUCGGAACGUGCCGAGUAGUGGGGGAUAACGCAUCGAAAGGUGUGCUAAUACCGCAUACGUACUGAGGUAGAAAGUGGGGGACCUUCGGGCCUCACGCUAUUCGAGCGGCCGACGUCUGAUUAGCUAGUGGGUGAGGUAAAGGCUCACCAAGGCGACGAUCAGUAGCGGGUCUGAGAGGAUGAUCCGCCACACUGGGACUGAGACACGGCCCAGACUCCUACGGGAGGCAGCAGUGGGGAAUUUUGGACAAUGGGCGCAAGCCUGAUUCAGCCAUGCCGCGUGUCUGAAGAAGGCCUUCGGGUUGUAAAGGACUUUUGUCCGGGAGCAAAUACCCAGUGCUAAUAACGCUGGGGGCUGAGAGUACCGGAAGAAUAAGCACCGGCUAACUACGUGCCAGCCGCCGCGGUAA
rnacentral:rRNA from 1 species